rnacentral:rRNA from 1 species
GACAGAGGAGGCAAGCGUUGUCCGGAUUUACUGGGUGUAAAGGGCGUGUAGGCGGGAUAGCAAGUCAGAUGUGAAAUUCCGGGGCUUAACCCCGGCGCUGCAUCUGAAACUGUUAUUCUUGAGUGUCGGAGAGGAAAGUGGAAUUCCCAGUGUAGCGGUGAAAUGCGUAGAGAUUGGGAGGAACACCAGUGGCGAAGGCGGCUUUCUGGACGAUAACUGACGCUGAGGCGCGAAAGCGUGGGGAGCGAACGGG